GAUGAAGAACGUAGCGAAAUGCGAUACGUAGUGUGAAUUGCAGAAUUCAGUGAAUCAUCGAAUCUUUGAACGCACAUUGCACCUCUCGGUAUUCCGGGAGGUAUGCCUGUUCGAGCGUCAUUUGUACCCUCAAGCUCUGCUUGGUGUUGGGUGUUUGUUCCGCCUCUGUGUGUGAACUCGCCUCAGAACAAUUGGCAGCCGGCGUACUUGUUUCGGAGCGCAGCACAUUUUGCGAUCCAGAUCAACGUACAGCGGCAUCCAAGAAGCCUUAUUUAACGCUCUUGACCUCGGAUCAGGUAGGGAUACCCGCUGAACUUAAGCAUAUCAAUAAGCGGAGGA
rnacentral:misc_RNA from 1 species